UACGAAGGGGGCUAGCGUUGUUCGGAAUUACUGGGCGUAAAGCGUAUGUAGGCGGAUCUUUAAGUCAGGGGUGAAAUCCCGAGGCUCAACCUCGGAACUGCCUUUGAUACUGCAAAUCUCGAGUCCGGAAGAGGUGAGUGGAAUUCCUAGUGUAGAGGUGAAAUUCGUAGAUAUUAGGAAGAACACCAGUGGCGAAGGCGGCUCACUGGUCCGGUACUGACGCUGAGGUGCGAAAGCGUGGGGAGCAAACAGGG
rnacentral:rRNA from 1 species